rnacentral:rRNA from 1 species
UUUAACUGAAGAGUUUGAUCAUGGCUCAGAUUGAACGCUGGCGGCAGGCUUAACACAUGCAAGUCGAGCGGGGGAAGGUAGCUUGCUACUGGACCUAGCGGCGGACG